GUAACGGCGAGUGAAGCGGGAAUAGCUCAAAUUUGAAAGCUGGCAGCAAUGUCCGCGUUGUAAUCUCGAGAAGUGUUUUCCGUGCUGGACCAUAGAUAUGUUCCUUGGAAUAGGAUGUCAAAGAGGGUGAGAAUCCCGUACAUGCUAUGGACGCCCAGUGCUUUGUGAUACACUUUCGAAGAGUCGAGUUGUUUGGGAAUGCAGCUCAAAAUGGGUGGUAAAUUCCAUCUAAAGCUAAAUAUUGGGGAGAGACCGAUAGCAAACAAGUACCGUGAGGGAAAGAUGAAAAGCACUUUGGAAAGAGAGUUAAACAGUACGUGAAAUUGUCAAAAGGGAAGCGCUUCAAGUCAGAUAUGGCUUUGAAUGUUCAGCCUUUAGGUGUAUUCAUUUUUUGUCAGGCCAGCAUCGAUUUUGAACGUCGGAUAAGGGUAGAAGGAAUGUAGCAUACUUUCGGGUAUGUGUUAUAGCCUUUUACUGGAUACGACGAUCGGGAUCGAGGUUCGCAGCACACCCUUUUUUGGGCAGGUCUUCGGACACUUUUGUGCUUAGGAUGCUGGCGUAAUGGCUUGAAGCGACCCGUCUUGA
rnacentral:rRNA from 1 species